rnacentral:rRNA from 1 species
AUUGAACGCUGGCGGCAGGCCUAACACAUGCAACUCGCGCCAGCGGCGGACGGGUGCGUAAUGUAUGGGGACUGCCCGAUAGAGGGGGAUAACUACUGGAAACGGUUGCUAAUACCGCAUACUCUCGGAUAACCCAUAUGGGAUUAGCUAGUAGGUGGGGUAAAGGCUCACCUAGGCGACAAUCUCUAGCUGGUCUGAGAGGAUGAGAAGCUACACGGCGAGUGAGAAACGGCCCAGACGCGGACGGAGGCAGCAGUGGGGAGUAUUGCACAAUGGGCGCAAGCCUGAUGCAGCAAUGCCGGGUGAAAGAAGAAGGCCGUAGGGUGGUAAAGUACUGUCAGCGGGGAGGCGUUACCCGCAGAAGAAAGACCGGCUAACUCCGUGCGAGCAGCGGCGGGAGUAC